GCACGAAGGGUUUCGGCCUUAGUGGCGGACGGGUGAGUAACGCGUAGGUAUCUAUCCAUGGGUGGGGGAUAACACUGGGAAACUGGUGCUAAUACCGCAUGACACCUGAGGGUCAAAGGCGUAAGUCGCCUGUGGAGGAGCCUGCGUUUGAUUAGCUAGUUGGUGGGGUAAAGGCCUACCAAGGCGAUGAUCAAUAGCUGGUUUGAGAGGAUGAUCAGCCACACUGGGACUGAGACACGGCCCAGACUCCUACGGGAGGCAGCAGUGGGGAAUAUUGGACAAUGGGGGCAACCCUGAUCCAGCAAUGCCGCGUGUGUGAAGAAGGUCUUCGGAUUGUAAAGCACUUUCGACGGGGACGAUGAUGACGGUACCCGUAGAAGAAGCCCCGGCUAACUUCGUGCCAGCAGCCGCGGUAAUACGAAGGGGGCUAGCGUUGCUCGGAAUGACUGGGCGUAAAGGGCGUGUAGGCGGUUUGUACAGUCAGAUGUGAAAUCCCCGGGCUUAACCUGGGAGCUGCAUUUGAUACGUGCAGACUAGAGUGUGAGAGAGGGUUGUGGAAUUCCCAGUGUAGAGGUGAAAUUCGUAGAUAUUGGGAAGAACACCGGUGGCGAAGGCGGCAACCUGGCUCAUUACUGACGCUGAGGCGCGAAAGCGUGGGGAGCAAACAGGAUUAGAUACCCUGGUAGUCCACGCUGUAAACGAUGUGUGCUAGAUGUUGGGUGACUUAGUCAUUCAGUGUCGCAGUUAACGCGUUAAGCACACCGCCUGGGGAGUACGGCCGCAAGGUUGAAACUCAAAG
rnacentral:rRNA from 6 species